UAAUGGUGUAUGGCAUAAAGCACCAUCGCAGAAGGAAGUUCGUCCCCCUUGGCCCAGCAUGAUGGAGCAGGAGAGGCUGGACCAUCCUGACAUGCAGCCUUAUAUAUAUAUGCCAUAUAUAUGCCAGCGUGCUCAGACUUCAGCAUCAUGUGUAUCACCUGUGGAGCCUGUUCAAAGGCAGAGUCGGAUUCCCCAGUUGCCGUCACCCAUGGAGACCAGAGUCCAGUUUCUUUAGACUUCCAGUGCAGACUCAUACGAGCAACUCUCUAGUGAACCUCUAACCCUGAGAUCUCAGACUGGCACUGCAUCCUUGAUCCCUCUUGUUCUGCAGCUUCCAGCUUUUUGGAUUGAGCAGCUACUGGGUCCUCUGGCUCUCUAGCACUGCAACAGCUGUUGUGGAUGCUCCACCUCUCAUCCUCUGGGAGGGAUCCCAGAGAACCAGGGAGAGACCAGAUGGGGCCCAGCAGACAGUAGACCAUGGGGAGAGAAUAUUUGUGAAGCUCCAGCUGCCUGACCUACUCGGAACUCUCAGAAGCAGGUCAUCCAUCCAUGAUGGGACAAGUAUACUGCAGUGUGCCUGCCUGCUGUAUUUCAGUUAAUCUACACAUCAAUCCUGUCCAAGCAGAUACUGUUAUUUCCAUUGAGUGACGAGACUCAAGCUUACAGAUGUUCAAAUUUCAUGGAACAACAUGAUUUCCGAAACAUCAGAAAGGACAUCCAUAUACAGUUGUCAACAUUCAUUUUCCUAAGUACGGUGAGUAGGAAAUUCUCCCUUCUACAUCAUCAUAAUUUCAUAACAGAAAGGACAUUGUAACAAUUAAAAUG